UGGCUCACUUCAGCAGCAUAUAUACUAAAAUGAGAAUGAUUCAGAGAAGAUUAGCGUGGACCCUGUGCAAGGGUGACACACAAAUUCAUGAAGCAUUUCAUAUUUAC